rnacentral:rRNA from 1 species
CCUACGGGUGGCUGCAGUAAGGAAUAUUGGUCAAUGGACGAAAGUCUGAACCAGCCAUGCCGCGUGGAGGAUGAAGGUCCUCUGGAUUGUAAACUUCUUUUAUAUGGGACGAAAAAAGGCCUUUCUAGGCCGUCUGACGGUACCAUAUGAAUAAGCACCGGCUAACUCCGUGCCAGCAGCCGCGGUAAUACGGAGGGUGCCAGCGUUAUCCGGAUUAACUGGGGCUUAGGGGUGUUGAGGUGGGUUGAUUGAAAGCUCCGAGCUUAACUUGGAAACUGCCAUUGAUACUAUUAAUCUUGAAUAUUGUGGAGGUUAGCGGAAUAUGUCAUGUAGCGGUGAAAUGCUUAGAUAUGACAUAGAACACCAAUUGCGAAGGCAGCUGGCUACACAUAUAUUGACACUGAGGCACGAAAGCGUGGGGAUCAAACAGGAUUAGUUACCCUUGUAGUC